GCAAAGGUAAACUAUCCGAAAGGGUAGGGCACAAAGCCUUGAGUUUAAGUCUCUGAUACACAAGGAGAUAUGACAGUCAGGCUACCGU
rnacentral:ncRNA from 1 species